UACGGGGGGGGCAAGCGUUGUUCGGAAUUACUGGGCGUGAAGGGCUCGUAGGCGGCCAACUAAGUCAGACGUGAAAUCCCUCGGCUUAACCGGGGAACUGCAUCUGAUACUGGAUGGCUUGAGUUCGGGAGAGGGAUGCGGAAUUCCAGGUGUAGCGGUGAAAUGCGUAGAUAUCUGGAGGAACACCGGUGGCGAAGGCGGCAUCCUGGACCGACACUGACGCUGAGGAGCGAAAGCCAGGGGAGCAAACGGG
rnacentral:rRNA from 1 species